rnacentral:tRNA from 1 species
GCGCCCGUAGCUCAGUCGGUAGAGCAACAGCCUUUUAAGCUGAUGGUCGUGGGUUCGAUUCCCGCCGGGCGCA